rnacentral:rRNA from 1 species
UGAGGAAUAUUGGUCAAUGGACGCAAGUCUGAACCAGCCAUGCCGCGUGCAGGAAGACGGCUCUAUGAGUUGUAAACUGCUUUUGUACGAGGGUAAACGCAGAUACGCGUAUCUGUCUGAAAGUAUCGUACGAAUAAGGAUCGGCUAACUCCGUGCC